GUACCCCGAGGAAAAGAAAUCAACCGAGAUUCCCCCAGUAGCGGCGAGCGAACGGGGAGCAGCCCAGAGCCUGAAUCAGUGUGUGUGUUAGUGGAAGCGUCUGGAAAGGCGCGCGAUACAGGGUGACAGCCCCGUACACAAAAAUGCACAUGCUGUGAGCUCGAUGAGUAGGGCGGGACACGUGGUAUCCUGUCUGAAUAUGGGGGGACCAUCCUCCAAGGCUAAAUACUCCUGACUGACCGAUAGUGAACCAGUACCGUGAGGGAAAGGCGAAAAGAACCCCGGCGAGGGGAGUGAAAAAGAACCUGAAACCGUGUACGUACAAGCAGUGGGAGCACGCUUAGGCGUGUGACUGCGUACCUUUUGUAUAAUGGGUCAGCGACUUAUAUUCUGUAGCAAGGUUAACCGAAUAGGGGAGCCGAAGGGAAACCGAGUCUUAACUGGGCGUUAAGUUGCAGGGUAUAGACCCGAAACCCGGUGAUCUAGCCAUGGGCAGGUUGAAGGUUGGGUAACACUAACUGGAGGACCGAACCGACUAAUGUUGAAAAAUUAGCGGAUGACUUGUGGCUGGGGGUGAAAGGCCAAUCAAACCGGGAGAUAGCUGGUUCUCCCCGAAAGCUAUUUAGGUAGCGCCUCGUGAAUUCAUCUCCGGGGGUAGAGCACUGUUUCGGCAAGGGGGUCAUCCCGACUUACCAACCCGAUGCAAACUGCGAAUACCGGAGAAUGUUAUCACGGGAGACACACGGCGGGUGCUAACGUCCGUCGUGAAGAGGGAAACAACCCAGACCGCCAGCUAAGGUCCCAAAGUCAUGGUUAAGUGGGAAACGAUGUGGGAAGGCCCAGACAGCCAGGAUGUUGGCUUAGAAGCAGCCAUCAUUUAAAGAAAGCGUAAUAGCUCACUGGUCGAGUCGGCCUGCGCGGAAGAUGUAACGGGGCUAAACCAUGCACCGAAGCUGCGGCAGCGACGCUUAUGCGUUGUUGGGUAGGGGAGCGUUCUGUAAGCCUGUGAAGGUGUACUGUGAGGUAUGCUGGAGGUAUCAGAAGUGCGAAUGCUGACAUAAGUAACGAUAAAGCGGGUGAAAAGCCCGCUCGCCGGAAGACCAAGGGUUCCUGUCCAACGUUAAUCGGGGCAGGGUGAGUCGACCCCUAAGGCGAGGCCGAAAGGCGUAGUCGAUGGGAAACAGGUUAAUAUUCCUGUACUUGGUGUUACUGCGAAGGGGGGACGGAGAAGGCUAUGUUGGCCGGGCGACGGUUGUCCCGGUUUAAGCGUGUAGGCUGGUUUUCCAGGCAAAUCCGGAAAAUCAAGGCUGAGGCGUGAUGACGAGGCACUACGGUGCUGAAGCAACAAAUGCCCUGCUUCCAGGAAAAGCCUCUAAGCAUCAGGUAACAUCAAAUCGUACCCCAAACCGACACAGGUGGUCAGGUAGAGAAUACCAAGGCGCUUGAGAGAACUCGGGUGAAGGAACUAGGCAAAAUGGUGCCGUAACUUCGGGAGAAGGCACGCUGAUAUGUAGGUGAAGUCCCUCGCGGAUGGAGCUGAAAUCAGUCGAAGAUACCAGCUGGCUGCAACUGUUUAUUAAAAACACAGCACUGUGCAAACACGAAAGUGGACGUAUACGGUGUGACGCCUGCCCGGUGCCGGAAGGUUAAUUGAUGGGGUUAGCGCAAGCGAAGCUCUUGAUCGAAGCCCCGGUAAACGGCGGCCGUAACUAUAACGGUCCUAAGGUAGCGAAAUUCCUUGUCGGGUAAGUUCCGACCUGCACGAAUGGCGUAAUGAUGGCCAGGCUGUCUCCACCCGAGACUCAGUGAAAUUGAACUCGCUGUGAAGAUGCAGUGUACCCGCGGCAAGACGGAAAGACCCCGUGAACCUUUACUAUAGCUUGACACUGAACAUUGAGCCUUGAUGUGUAGGAUAGGUGGGAGGCUUUGAAGUGUGGACGCCAGUCUGCAUGGAGCCGACCUUGAAAUACCACCCUUUAAUGUUUGAUGUUCUAACGUGGACCCGUAAUCCGGGUUGCGGACAGUGUCUGGUGGGUAGUUUGACUGGGGCGGUCUCCUCCUAAAGAGUAACGGAGGAGCACGAAGGUUGGCUAAUCCUGGUCGGACAUCAGGAGGUUAGUGCAAUGGCAUAAGCCAGCUUGACUGCGAGCGUGACGGCGCGAGCAGGUGCGAAAGCAGGUCAUAGUGAUCCGGUGGUUCUGAAUGGAAGGGCCAUCGCUCAACGGAUAAAAGGUACUCCGGGGAUAACAGGCUGAUACCGCCCAAGAGUUCAUAUCGACGGCGGUGUUUGGCACCUCGAUGUCGGCUCAUCACAUCCUGGGGCUGAAGUAGGUCCCAAGGGUAUGGCUGUUCGCCAUUUAAAGUGGUACGCGAGCUGGGUUUAGAACGUCGUGAGACAGUUCGGUCCCUAUCUGCCGUGGGCGCUGGAGAACUGAGGGGGGCUGCUCCUAGUACGAGAGGACCGGAGUGGACGCAUCACUGGUGUUCGGGUUGUCAUGCCAAUGGCACUGCCCGGUAGCUAAAUGCGGAAGAGAUAAGUGCUGAAAGCAUCUAAGCACGAAACUUGCCCCGAGAUGAGUUCU
rnacentral:rRNA from 1 species